GCGAACAUGGUAUAAUGGAUAUUACCUCAACCUUCCAAGUUGAAGAUGUGGGUUCAAUUCCCACUGUUCGCU
rnacentral:tRNA from 1 species